GUCCGCGUAGCGCAGUUGGUAGAGCAUUGGGCUAGUAUUCCGAAGGUCGUAGGUUCGAUACCCACCGUGGCCA
rnacentral:tRNA from 1 species